rnacentral:misc_RNA from 1 species
GAACGCAUCUUGCGCUCCUGGGUACUCCUGGGAGCAUGCCUGUUUGAGUGUCGUGUAACCUCUCAAUCUGCCCCUUUCUUGCUUGAUUGCUCGAGAGGCCUGGCUUCAGAUUGGAUCAUGGCUGAAUGAUGCCGUUGUCUGCAAAGGCGACAGCUCGGCCGAAAUGCAGACAAGUGACGACCGCUCGUGUCGAUCGGCUUGAACUCGGCGUUGUAAUUUCUCCCUCGUUGAGCUACGAUCUUCACGUCUUUGAAGGCGCACUUUGAAAUACACUCUCUUUUUGAGCAAAUCUGGCCUCAAAUCAGGCAGGACUACCCGCUGAACUUAAG